GCAUGUGGGAGAAGGAGCGUCUCACUGAGAAGAGAUUCUAUCUUAUUGUAAGUCUCUUUGGAGAGAGGACGCCCAGGAGAAUGCCUUUGCUCAGAGCCUGAAACCUGCUUGCUCAGGGGUGGAGCUUCCCGCUCAAUCGUUCUGCCACGCCCACUGCUGGAACCUGCUGCUUUGCUGUUUGGAGCCAUACACGUGGUCACCCUGAUACUGGACUCCGAGAUUAUUUGGUGGGAAUCGGGCCCCUCCACCUUCCUUCAUAACUGAGUGUCGCAACAGUAAAAUUGAGCUUUGAUCAGA
rnacentral:lncRNA from 1 species